GGAGAGGUCGCAUAGUGGUCUAGUGCGCUCGCUUGGAAAGCGAGUAAGGGUCACACCUUCGCGGGUUCGAAUCCCGCUCUCUCCG
rnacentral:tRNA from 1 species